rnacentral:rRNA from 1 species
GGUUAAGCGACUAAGCGUACACGGUGGAUGCCCUGGCAGUCAGAGGCGAUGAAGGACGUGCUAAUCUGCGAUAAGCGUCGGUAAGGUGAUAUGAACCGUUAUAACCGGCGAUUUCCGAAUGGGGAAACCCAGUGUGUUUCGACACACUAUCAUUAACUGAAUCCAUAGGUUAAUGAGGCGAACCGGGGGAACUGAAACAUCUAAGUACCCCGAGGAAAAGAAAUCAACCGAGAUUCCCCCAGUAGCGGCGAGCGAACGGGGAGCAGCCCAGAGCCUGAAUCAGUGUGUGUGUUAGUGGAAGCGUCUGGAAAGGCGCGCGAUACAGGGUGACAGCCCCGUACACAAAAAUGCACAUGCUGUGAGCUCGAUGAGUAGGGCGGGACACGUGGUAUCCUGUCUGAAUAUGGGGGGACCAUCCUCCAAGGCUAAAUACUCCUGACUGACCGAUAGUGAACCAGUACCGUGAGGGAAAGGCGAAAAGAACCCCGGCGAGGGGAGUGAAAAAGAACCUGAAACCGUGUACGUACAAGCAGUGGGAGCACGCUUCGGCGUGUGACUGCGUACCUUUUGUAUAAUGGGUCAGCGACUUAUAUUCUGUAGCAAGGUUAACCGAAUAGGGGAGCCGAAGGGAAACCGAGUCUUAACUGGGCGUUAAGUUGCAGGGUAUAGACCCGAAACCCGGUGAUCUAGCCAUGGGCAGGUUGAAGGUUGGGUAACACUAACUGGAGGACCGAACCGACUAAUGUUGAAAAAUUAGCGGAUGACUUGUGGCUGGGGGUGAAAGGCCAAUCAAACCGGGAGAUAGCUGGUUCUCCCCGAAAGCUAUUUAGGUAGCGCCUCGUGAAUUCAUCUCCGGGGGUAGAGCACUGUUUCGGCAAGGGGGUCAUCCCGACUUACCAACCCGAUGCAAACUGCGAAUACCGGAGAAUGUUAUCACGGGAGACACACGGCGGGUGCUAACGUCCGUCGUGAAGAGGGAAACAACCCAGACCGCCAGCUAAGGUCCCAAAGUCAUGGUUAAGUGGGAAACGAUGUGGGAAGGCCCAGACAGCCAGGAUGUUGGCUUAGAAGCAGCCAUCAUUUAAAGAAAGCGUAAUAGCUCACUGGUCGAGUCGGCCUGCGCGGAAGAUGUAACGGGGCUAAACCAUGCACCGAAGCUGCGGCAGCGACACUGUGUGUUGUUGGGUAGGGGAGCGUUCUGUAAGCCUGUGAAGGUGUACUGUGAGGUAUGCUGGAGGUAUCAGAAGUGCGAAUGCUGACAUAAGUAACGAUAAAGCGGGUGAAAAGCCCGCUCGCCGGAAGACCAAGGGUUCCUGUCCAACGUUAAUCGGGGCAGGGUGAGUCGACCCCUAAGGCGAGGCCGAAAGGCGUAGUCGAUGGGAAACAGGUUAAUAUUCCUGUACUUGGUGUUACUGCGAAGGGGGGACGGAGAAGGCUAUGUUGGCCGGGCGACGGUUGUCCCGGUUUAAGCGUGUAGGCUGGUUUUCCAGGCAAAUCCGGAAAAUCAAGGCUGAGGCGUGAUGACGAGGCACUACGGUGCUGAAGCAACAAAUGCCCUGCUUCCAGGAAAAGCCUCUAAGCAUCAGGUAACAUCAAAUCGUACCCCAAACCGACACAGGUGGUCAGGUAGAGAAUACCAAGGCGCUUGAGAGAACUCGGGUGAAGGAACUAGGCAAAAUGGUGCCGUAACUUCGGGAGAAGGCACGCUGAUAUGUAGGUGAAGCGACUUGCUCGUGGAGCUGAAAUCAGUCGAAGAUACCAGCUGGCUGCAACUGUUUAUUAAAAACACAGCACUGUGCAAACACGAAAGUGGACGUAUACGGUGUGACGCCUGCCCGGUGCCGGAAGGUUAAUUGAUGGGGUUAGCGCAAGCGAAGCUCUUGAUCGAAGCCCCGGUAAACGGCGGCCGUAACUAUAACGGUCCUAAGGUAGCGAAAUUCCUUGUCGGGUAAGUUCCGACCUGCACGAAUGGCGUAAUGAUGGCCAGGCUGUCUCCACCCGAGACUCAGUGAAAUUGAACUCGCUGUGAAGAUGCAGUGUACCCGCGGCAAGACGGAAAGACCCCGUGAACCUUUACUAUAGCUUGACACUGAACAUUGAGCCUUGAUGUGUAGGAUAGGUGGGAGGCUUAGAAGUGUGGACGCCAGUCUGCAUGGAGCCGACCUUGAAAUACCACCCUUUAAUGUUUGAUGUUCUAACGUUGACCCGUAAUCCGGGUUGCGGACAGUGUCUGGUGGGUAGUUUGACUGGGGCGGUCUCCUCCUAAAGAGUAACGGAGGAGCACGAAGGUUGGCUAAUCCUGGUCGGACAUCAGGAGGUUAGUGCAAUGGCAUAAGCCAGCUUGACUGCGAGCGUGACGGCGCGAGCAGGUGCGAAAGCAGGUCAUAGUGAUCCGGUGGUUCUGAAUGGAAGGGCCAUCGCUCAACGGAUAAAAGGUACUCCGGGGAUAACAGGCUGAUACCGCCCAAGAGUUCAUAUCGACGGCGGUGUUUGGCACCUCGAUGUCGGCUCAUCACAUCCUGGGGCUGAAGUAGGUCCCAAGGGUAUGGCUGUUCGCCAUUUAAAGUGGUACGCGAGCUGGGUUUAGAACGUCGUGAGACAGUUCGGUCCCUAUCUGCCGUGGGCGCUGGAGAACUGAGGGGGGCUGCUCCUAGUACGAGAGGACCGGAGUGGACGCAUCACUGGUGUUCGGGUUGUCAUGCCAAUGGCACUGCCCGGUAGCUAAAUGCGGAAGAGAUAAGUGCUGAAAGCAUCUAAGCACGAAACUUGCCCCGAGAUGAGUUCUCCCUGACCCUUUAAGGGUCCUGAAGGAACGUUGAAGACGACGACGUUGAUAGGCCGGGUGUGUAAGCGCAGCGAUGCGUUGAGCUAACCGGUACUAAUGAACCGUGAGGCUUAACCUU